rnacentral:rRNA from 1 species
UACGUAGGCAGCGAGCGUUGUUCGGAGUUACUGGGCGUAAAGGGUGUGUAGGCGGUUGUUUAAGUUUGGUGUGAAAUCUCCCGGCUCAACUGGGAGGGUGCGCCGAAUACUGAAUGACUUCGAGUGCGGGAGAGGAAAGUGGAAUUCCUGGUGUAGCGGUGAAAUGCGCAGAUAUCGGGAGGAACACCUAUGGCGAAGGCAGCUCGCUGGGACGUUACUGACGCUGAGACGCGAAAGCGUGGGGAGCAAACAGG